GUACUGCUGAGGAGUCCCAAACUAGGACGAAACAGUUGGCUGUCCAGUAC
rfam:Trichobilharzia regenti genome assembly, scaffold: TRE_scaffold0020753